rnacentral:lncRNA from 1 species
CCCCUGGAUUCAGUAAAUCCCCCUGGAUUCAGGCCGGGCUCGGCUCCAGGGCUGGCAGCACUCCACAGCUACAGGAGCAACUCCUGGGGAUUCUUUGGGAAUCUGGGAGGGAAUUCUCCAAAAUCCCAGAUUUCCCCAGCUUCCAGUGAGCCCCAAAUCCAUUCCAAGAAUUCCUGAAGUUCCCACCUCCAAAACCCUCAGAUCCUUCCCACUCCAAGCAGGAACAGCCGCUCCAAGAAUUCCUGAAGUUCCCAUCCCCAAAAAUCCUCAGAUCCCUCCCAUUCCAAGUGGGAAUGAACCAUUCCAACAAUUCCUGAAAUUCCCACCCCCAAAAUCCCCAAAUCCCUCCCAUUCCAAGUGGAAUGAGCCAUUCCAAGAAUUCCUGAAGCUCCCACCUGUAAUGACCCCAAAAUCCCCAGAUUCCUCCCAUUUCAAAUGGAAAUGAGUCACUCCAAGAAUUCCUGAAAUUCCCACCCCCAAAAUCCCCAAAUCACUCCCAUUUCAAGUGGGAAUGAACCACUCCAAGAAUUCCUGAAGUUCCCACCCCCAAAAUCCCCACAUCCCUCCCAUUUCAAGUGGGAAUGAACCAUUCCAAGAAUUCCUGAAGUUCCCAUCUGAAAUGACCCCAAAAUCCCUCUCAGAUCCCUCCCAUUCCAAGUGGGAAUGAGCCAUUCCAAAAAUUCCUGAAACUCCCACCCCGAAAAUCCCCAGAUUCCUCCCAUUCCAAGUGGAAUGAGCCAUUCCAAGAAUUCCUGAAGCUCCCACCUGCAAUAGCCCACAAUCCCUGCCAUUCCUAGCACUCAUUCCCAGCCGUUCCCAGCCCGUCCCCCUCACUUGGCCAGGGUGAUGAGCCCCACGUUGUUCUCGGGGUUGCUGCGUGUCUUGGAGUGGCACACGAUGUUGACGGCGUCCUGCUGCGCCUGCAGCCGCGUCGGCAGGAAGUCCCCGUUCCGCAUGUACUCGCUGUUGUCCACGCUGCAAUCCCAAAAAAACCCAGGAAUGCUACAAGGGAAUCCCGGGAAAAUCCCUCUGUUGGGUGGUUGGGUUUUUGCGGGGGGAAAAUUGGGUUUAUUCCAGUCUUAAAUGAGAUUUUUAUGGGAGUGUGGACGUUCAUCACAAAAAUCUGAUUUUUUUGGGAUAGCCAAAGUGCAUUCCCCAAAAUCUCAAUUUUUUUUUUGGGAAUGCCUGAUGUUCAUUCCCCCAAACCUGGGACUUUUGGGGAAUUGCUGACGUUUAUUCCGGCAAAAUCCAGGGUUUUUUUGGGAACAGGUGAAGCUCAAACCACAAAAUCUCUGCCUCGGACCCUUCCUGCCC